GAUGAACGCUGGCGGCGUGCCUAAUACAUGCAAGUCGAGCGAACGGACGAGAAGCUUGCUUCUCUGAUGUUAGCGGCGGACGGGUGAGUAACACGUGGAUAACCUACCUAUAAGACUGGGAUAACUUCGGGAAACCGGAGCUAAUACCGGAUGAUAUUUUGAACCGCAUGGUUCAAAAGUGAAAGACGGUCUUGCUGUCACUUAUAGAUGGAUCCGCGCUGCAUUAGCUAGUUGGUAAGGUAACGGCUUACCAAGGCAACGAUGCAUAGCCGACCUGAGAGGGUGAUCGGCCACACUGGAACUGAGACACGGUCCAGACCCCUACGGGAGGCAGCAGUAGGGAAUCUUCCGCAAUGGGCGAAAGCCUGACGGAGCAACGCCGCGUGAGUGAGGAAGGUCUUCGGAUCGUAAAACUCUGUUAUUAGGGAAGAACAUAUGUGUAAGUAACUGUGCACAUCUUGACGGUACCUAAUCAGAAAGCCACGGCUAACUACGU
rnacentral:rRNA from 1 species